UACGAAGGGGGCUAGCGUUGCUCGGAAUCACUGGGCGUAAAGCGCACGUAGGCGGCUUUCUAAGUCAGGGGUGAAAUCCUGGAGCUCAACUCCAGAACUGCCUUUGAUACUGGGAAGCUUGAGUCCGGAAGAGGUGAGUGGAACUCCGAGUGUAGAGGUGAAAUGCGUAGAUAUUGGGAGGAACACCAGUGGCGAAGGCGGCUCACUGGACCGGUACUGACGCUGAUGCGCGAAAGCGUGGGGAGCAAACAGG
rnacentral:rRNA from 1 species